AGCGAACGCUGGCGGCAGGCCUAACACAUGCAAGUCGAACGAACCUUUCGGGGUUAGUGGCGGACGGGUGAGUAACACGUGGGAACGUGCCUUUAGGUUCGGAAUAUCUCAGGGAAACUUGUGCUAAUACCGAAUGUGCCCUUCGGGGGAAAGAUUUAUCGCCUUUAGAGCGGCCCGCGUCUGAUUAGCUAGUUGGUUGAGGUAAUGGCUCACCAAGGCGACGAUCAGUAGCUGGUCUGAGAGGAUGAUCAGCCACAUUGGGACUGAGACACGGCCCAAACUCCUACGGGAGGCAGCAGUGGGGAAUCUUGCGCAAUGGGCGAAAGCCUGACGCAGCCAUGCCGCGUGAAUGAUGAAGGUCUUAGGAUUGUAAAAUUCUUUCACCGGGGACGAUAAUGACGGUACCCGGAGAAGAAGCCCCGGCUAACUUCGUG
rnacentral:rRNA from 1 species